UGGGGAAUAUUGGACAAUGGGGGAACCCUGAUCCAGCCAUGCCGCGUGUGUGAAGAAGGCCUUAUGGUUGUAAAGCACUUUAAGCGAGGAGGAGGCUACUGAGACUAAUACUCUUGGAUAGUGGACGUUACUCGCAGAAUAAGCACCGGCUAACUCUGUGCCAGCAGCCGCGGUAAUACAGAGGGUGCGAGCGUUAAUCGGAUUUACUGGGCGUAAAGCGUGCGUAGGCGGCUUUUUAAGUCGGAUGUGAAAUCCCCGAGCUUAACUUGGGAAUUGCAUUCGAUACUGGGAAGCUAGAGUAUGGGAGAGGAUGGUAGAAUUCCAGGUGUAGCGGUGAAAUGCGUAGAGAUCUGGAGGAAUACCGAUGGCGAAGGCAGCCAUCUGGCCUAAUACUGACGCUGAGGUACGAAAAGCAUGGGGAGCAAAACAGGAUUAGAUACCCUGGUAGUCCAUGCCGUAAAACGAUGUCUACUAGCCGUUGGGGCCUUUGAGGCUUUAGUGGCGCAGCUAAACGCGAUAAAGUAGACCGCCUGGGGAGUACGGUUGC
rnacentral:rRNA from 1 species